GGCUUCAUGUGCAGCUAUAUCCAUAGGGGACCUCUCUGUGUUAGCCAGAUCUAUAAGCUUAAAAACACACAAAAUAUGAAUUGCAAAAAGUCCACAUGAAAAGGAGGACUGAACUUUUAUAUCGCGCUUUACGUAAAAAUGCAGACUUGUACAAUUCUUUGUGCUAAAGUUGACGUAGCAUCUACAUGAGAAGGUAAAUAAAUAAUAAGCAAUUUUUUAA